CGCUAGAUAUAGGGUGUCUCAUGGCUCAUAACCUGAAGGUCGCAGGUUCAAAUCCUGCCCCCGCAACCA
rnacentral:tRNA from 1 species